GUGUGAAUCAGCUCAUGUUUGAGGCAAUCGGAGCUGGUCUGAAACCUCUUAUUACACACAGGACACUCAAAGUGCCUCUCCCUGGUGUGAACGCACUGGUGUCUUCUCAGGAUGGACAUCCACCCAAAGCUCUGCCUACAUUCCGAGCAGGUCUAGGGUCGUUCCCCAUUGUGGAUCAUCUGGUGCCGCAUCAGGAUGGAGAUGUCGCUGAUACUCUUCCCGCAUUUCCCACAUUCGGCUUCUCCCCAGUGUGGAUAACCUGGCGCCAGAUCAGCUGCGAGCUGUAGCUGAAACCCUUCCUACAUUCCAAGCACUUGUGGGGCUUCUCCCCUCCAUGAAGCUUCUCCACCAGCUCUGAGCCUGGAUCUCCAGCCACCUUCCCAGCAUAGGGAGGGUCUUUCCUCCUCACAGCUCCCUGGGCUGGCUCUGCAGCCCCUCUUCCUGCAGGAUCUCUGGGGCAUUUCCUCCUCCUCAAUCCACCAUGCCUUGGUAACGACAAAUCCUGUUUUGUGGGAAUAAACAAGAAGAGAUCUCCACAGA